GACGAACGCUGGCGGCGUGCUUAACACAUGCAAGUCGAACGGAAAGGCCCUGCUUUUGUGGGGUGCUCGAGUGGCGAACGGGUGAGUAACACGUGAGUAACCUGCCCUUGACUUUGGGAUAACUUCAGGAAACUGGGGCUAAUACCGGAUAGGAGCUCCUGCUGCAUGGUGGGGGUUGGAAAGUUUCGGCGGUUGGGGAUGGACUCGCGGCUUAUCAGCUUGUUGGUGGGGUAGUGGCUUACCAAGGCUUUGACGGGUAGCCGGCCUGAGAGGGUGACCGGCCACAUUGGGACUGAGAUACGGCCCAGACUCCGACGGGAGGCAGCAGUGGGGAAUAUUGCACAAUGGGCGGAAGCCUGAUGCAGCAACGCCGCGUGCGGGAUGACGGCCUUCGGGUUGUAAACCGCUUUCGCCUGUGACGAAGCGUGAGUGACGGGAAUGGGUAAAGAAGCACCGGCGAACUACGU
rnacentral:rRNA from 1 species